AAAAAAGGUAAGCUACUAAGAGCGAAUGGUGGAUGCCUUGACUGGUAAAGGCGAUGAAGGACGUACUAGACUGCGAUAAGCUACGGGGAGCUGUCAAGAAGCUUUGAUCCGUAGAUUUCCGAAUGGGGCAACCCAAUGUAUAGAGAUAUACAUUACCUAUAUAGGAGCGAACGAGGGGAAUUGAAACAUCUUAGUACUCUCAGGAAAAGAAAUCAAUAGAGAUUGCGUCAGUAGCGGCGAGCGAAAGCGCAAGAGGGCAAACCCAGUGCUUGCACUGGGGGUUGUAGGACUGCAAUGUGCAAGAGGUAAGUUUAGCAGAACAUUCUGGAAAGUAUAACCAUAGAGGGUGAUAGUCCCGUAUGCGAAAAACAAACCUUAGCUAGCAGUAUCCUGAGUAGGGCGGGACACGAGGAAUCCUGUCUGAAUCCGGGUCGACCACGAUCCAACCCUAAAUACUAAUACCAGAUCGAUAGUGCACAAGUACCGUGAGGGAAAGGUGAAAAGAACUGAGGUGAUCAGAGUGAAAUAGAACCUGAAACCAUUUGCUUACAAUCAUUCAGAGCCCUAUGUAGCAAUACAGGGUGAUGGACUGCCUUUUGCAUAAUGAGCCUGCGAGUUGUGGUGUCUGGCAAGGUUAAGCAAACGCGAAGCCGUAGCGAAAGCGAGUCUGAAUAGGGCGCUUAGUCAGAUGCUGCAGACCCGAAACGAAGUGAUCUAUCCAUGAGCAAGUUGAAGCUAGUGUAAGAACUAGUGGAGGACUGAACCCAUAGGCGUUGAAAAGCCCCGGGAUGACUUGUGGAUAGGGGUGAAAGGCCAAUCAAACUUCGUGAUAGCUGGUUCUCUCCGAAAUAUAUUUAGGUAUAGCGUUGUGUCGUAAUAUAAGGGGGUAGAGCACUGAAUGGGCUAGGGCAUACACCAAUGUACCAAACCCUAUCAAACUCCGAAUACCUUAUAUGUAAUCACAGCAGUCAGGCGGCGAGUGAUAAAAUCCGUCGU
rnacentral:rRNA from 1 species